rnacentral:rRNA from 1 species
AGUGAACGCUGGCGGUAGGCCUAACACAUGCAAGUCGAACGGCAGCACAGUAAGAGCUUGCUCUUACGGGUGGCGAGUGGCGGACGGGUGAGGAAUACAUCGGAAUCUACUUUUUCGUGGGGGAUAACGUAGGGAAACUUACGCUAAUACCGCAUACGACCUACGGGUGAAAGCAGGGGAUCUUCGGACCUUGCGCGAUUGAAUGAGCCGAUGUCGGAUUAGCUAGUUGGCGGGGUAAAGGCCCACCAAGGCGACGAUCCGUAGCUGGUCUGAGAGGAUGAUAAGCCACAUUGGAACUGGGACACGGUCCAGACUCCUACGGGAGGCAGCAGUGGGGAAUAUUGGACAAUGGGCGCAAGCCUGAUCCAGCCAUACCGCGUGGGUGAAGAAGGCCUUCGGGUUGUAAAGCCCUUUUGUUGGGAAAGAAAAGCAGCAGGUUAAUACCCCGCUGUUCUGACGGUACCCAAAGAAUAAGCACCGGCUAACUUCGUG